UAGAACGCGUAACCUCCACGUGUCCAAAUUAUAUUCGUCUGUCAUAGCUAUAAAUAACCCUUACUGACCUAAUCCUCCCUCCGUUCACCAGUCACCACAUAGCGUGAGGUUUGAGAGUUUAGUUUACUUUUACGUUUCUUUCUCUUCCUCUGAGAUUGCGGAGAGAGAGAGAAAGAACGGUUCUUGAUAUUCUCACCGCGCGGUCUCUAAUUCGCUUGGUGCAGGUCGGGAACCGCUGCUGCUACUUUCGACCGGAAUGAGUUUCGAUUGUCGGCGGCGAAUUGGAUCCCGCCUUGCAUCAACUGAAUCCGAGGCCGCCGUGGUU